GAAAGGGACGGCUAANUACGUGCCAGCAGCCGCGGUAAUACGUAGGUCUCGAGCGUUGUCCGGAUUUAUUGGGCGUAAAGGGAGCGCAGGCGNUCAGGAAAGUCUGGAGUAAAAGGCUAUGGCUCAACCAUAGUGUGCUCUGGAAACUNUCUGACUUGAGUGCAGAAGGGGAGAGUGGAAUUCCAUGUGUAGCGGUGAAAUGCGUAGAUAUAUGGAGGAACACCAGUGGCGAAAGCGGCUCUCUGGUCUGUCACUGACGCUGAGGCUCGAAAGCGUGGGUAGCGAACAGGAUUAGAUACCCUGGUAGUCCACGCCGUAAACGAUGAGUGCUAGGUGUUAGGCCCUUUCCGGGGCUUAGUGCCGGAGCUAACGCAAUAAGCACUCCGCCUGGGGAGUACGACCGCAAGGUUGAAACUCAAAGGAAUUGACGGGGGCCCGCACAAGCGGUGGAGCAUGUGGUUUAAUUCGAAGCAACGCGAAGAACCUUACCAGGUCUUGACAUCCCGAUGCUAUUCUUAGAGAUAGGAAGUUACUUCGGUACAUCGGAGACAGGUGGUGCAUGGUUGUCGUCAGCUCGUGUCGUGAGAUGUUGGGUUAAGUCCCGCAACGAGCGCAACCCUUAUUGUUAGUUGCCAUCAUUAAGUUGGGCACUCUAGCGAGACUGCCGGUAAUAAACCGGAGGAAGGUGGGGAUGACGUCAAAUCAUCAUGCCCCUUAUGACCUGGGCUACACACGUGCUACAAUGGUCGGUACAACGAGUUGCGAGCCGGUGACGGCAAGCUAAUCUCUGAAAGCCGAUCUCAGUUCGGAUUGGAGGCUGCAACUCGCCUCCAUGAAGUCGGAAUCGCUAGUAAUCGCGGAUCAGCACGCCGCGGUGAAUACGUUCCCGGGCCUUGUACACACCGCCCGUCACACCACGAGAGUUUGUAACACCCGAAGUCGGUGAGGUANCCUUUUAGGG
rnacentral:rRNA from 1 species